rnacentral:rRNA from 1 species
UACAGAGGUCCCAAGCGUUGUUCGGAUUCACUGGGCGUAAAGGGUGCGUAGGUGGUGAGGUAAGUCGGAUGUGAAAGCUCGGAGCUCAACUCCGAAAUGGCAUUGGAAACUACCUUGCUCGAGGGUUGGAGGGGGGACUGGAAUGCUUGGUGUAGCAGUGAAAUGCGUAGAGAUCGGGAGGAACACCCGUGGCGAAGGCGGCCAUCUGGACCAGCACUGACGCUGAGGCACGAAAGCGUGGGGAGCAAACAGG